AUUACUAUUGCUACUUCAAAGUUCAUACUCAUAAGCAAAGCAACUGAACAUGACUCCCAAGGCUUCUUUCUUUCUCUUCUCUAUUUUAGCACUUCUGUUUGCUGCAAGAGCUCAAGACAGAGCUCCUCAUGGCCUGGCUUUUGAGAAUCCAGUGGCCUUUUCACCCUCCGCAGUUGAAUUUUUCCAUCCGAAAACACAAGAACCCAACACUAAGAAACCUUGUGCAGAAUCAUCUGGUUGUUCAUCAUUGCCUCUAGCAGCUGAAGUGGAGGCUACUCAAACACAGGAAACUGAAGUAUCAUCAUCCCAGAAAGUUGGGAGUCAGCUAGGAGCUGGCGGCAUUACCGGCAUUGUGCUCGGUUUGGCAUUUGCAAUGCUACUAGCAAUGGAGGGUUUUUAAGUAUUCAUCACAUGUCGAGUCAACCUCAAAUGUGGCAGCUCCAUUUCAACCUGAUGCUUGAUGGGGUUACUACAGUAGGCUUG
rnacentral:misc_RNA from 1 species